rnacentral:SRP_RNA from 13 species
UCCGUCAGGGCGGGAAGGCAGCA